GACGAACGCUGGCGGCGUGCCUAAUACAUGCAAGUUGAGCGCUGAAGGUUGGUACUUGUACCAACUGGAUGAGCAGCGAACGGGUGAGUAACGCGUGGGGAAUCUGCCUUUGAGCGGGGGACAACAUUUGGAAACGAAUGCUAAUACCGCAUAAAAACUUUAAACACAAGUUUUAAGUUUGAAAGAUGCAAUUGCAUCACUCAAAGAUGAUCCCGCGUUGUAUUAGCUAGUUGGUGAGGUAAAGGCUCACCAAGGCGAUGAUACAUAGCCGACCUGAGAGGGUGAUCGGCCACAUUGGGACUGAGACACGGCCCAAACUCCUACGGGAGGCAGCAGUAGGGAAUCUUCGGCAAUGGACGAAAGUCUGACCGAGCAACGCCGCGUGAGUGAAGAAGGUUUUCGGAUCGUAAAACUCUGUUGGUAGAGAAGAACGUUGGUGAGAGUGGAUAGCUCAUCAAGUGACGGUAACUACACAGAAAGGGACGGCUAACUACGUG
rnacentral:rRNA from 1 species